UACGAAGGGGGGCUAGCGUUGCUCGGAAUCACUGGGCGUAAAGGGUGCGUAGGCGGGUCUUUUAAGUCAGGGGGUGAAAUCCUGGAGCUCAACUCCAGAACUGCCUUUGAUACUGAAGAUCUUGAGUUCGGGAGAGGUGAGUGGAACUGCGAGUGUAGAGGUGAAAUUCGUAGAUAUUCGCAAGAACACCAGUGGCGAAGGCGGCUCACUGGCCCGAUCGUACGCUGA
rnacentral:rRNA from 1 species